CUUUAAAAUUAAUUUUUUGAAUUUAUUUUUAUUGAAUCACACUCCAUUUUCUCACCAAACUUCACUCUGUUCAUCUUAGUCUUCCGUCUUCUUACUGUAAUGGCUGUUCUCUUCGUCAAUCAUCCCAGCACUAUAAUUUUGUUCUUCAAAAUCCCAAAUCAUAACCCAAAUCACAAAAUUGCAACCCAAAUCCUUUAAUUACAUUUAUAUAGAAACCCACGUUGCAAUCCUAAAUCACCAUUGAGAAAUCUACUACAGAACAAGAAGAACAAGUUGAGUUUGUUUAGCUCAAUCAGGAAGGAAAAUUUAAUUGAUAGUUUGCUUGUGGUUAAUUUUGACUAUCAUUAUCUUCUUUCUCCAUUCAACCAUUCAUUAGUAUUGGCAAUAGUUUGACUAUUUUCAUCAUCAUCAUCAUCUUUCCUUUGAUCAACUCUUUAAGCUUCAAAGCUAAUUCAAGGUGAGAAAUUAAAUCUAAAAAGAUUAUAUCCUCCAACUCUUAUUUGGUUAGAGGCUGUCUUUUUAUCUUGUGUAAUUUUAAAGAAUGAAAAUGGUUCACACAAAGGUUUUCUUCAUGAUCUCUUCCGUCUCAUUUCGCUCCCCUUCCUUCUGCUUCUACUUCUUGUGUUGAAGUAAUGAUUUCAAGACCUGAUUUUGAUGUGUAAUGUCAAAGAUGUACGCCUACCUAGCCUACUUAUUUACUAUAUUAAUAUGCAAUAGCAACACAAAUUUGUGGACAUGAGAAUGACCAAAAGUAUCCAUGUCAAUAUUAAGUUGUUGUAAACCACCCCAUGCAUGUUAAAUAUAGAAUACUUGUAAUUAUGAUUCAAUCAGCAUUGAUAUUUAAGGCUCAACUAGAUUAAAGUUUGUGGGUUAAUUUUUCGAGGGAAAACAGAUUGUGAGAAAGAGAGAAUUAUGAGCUGUUUAGAGAGAGAGAUGAGUUGCCCUUGAGUGUUAUGUAAUGGUGUGAGUUCAAUUGCAGAAGCAAAGCUUCUCAAGAUUGUGUAAUUGGAACUGUUGUAAUCUCUCAUUAAAUAUCAGCUAAUAAAGAUUCUCUAAAGCCAUUGUUGUGGCUGUUUUAA